rnacentral:rRNA from 1 species
UACGGAGGGGGCUAGCGUUGUUCGGAAUUACUGGGCGUAAAGCGCGCGUAGGCGGACCUGCAAGUCGGGGGUGAAAGCCCGAGGCUCAACCUCGGAACUGCCUUCGAUACUGCGGGUCUCGAGUCCGGGAGAGGUGAGUGGAAUUCCUAGUGUAGAGGUGAAAUUCGUUGAUAUUAGGAAGAACACCGGUGGCGAAGGCGGCCUGCUGGGCAGUGGCUGACACUGAGGCGCGACAGCGUGGGGAGCAAACAGG